rnacentral:tRNA from 1 species
GGGGAUUUAGCUCAGUGGCAUUAAGUGCCUGCCUCGCAAGCAGGCAGUUGUGAGUUCAAUCCCCG